AGCUGUAUUUGGUGCUGUAAACGUGCAGUUUUGCUGCUGUUUUUGGUGCUGAGAACGUGCAGUUUUGCUGCUGUUUUUGCUGCUGAAAAUCUGCAGUUUUGCUGCUGUUUUUGGUGCUGCAAACGGGCAGAACUGCUGCUGUUUUUGGCUAUGCUAUGAUGAUUGUCUAAGGUGUGAACUUGUGAUGCUCGUUGAACGCUUAUGGUCACUGUUAUAUUGCUAUUGCCGAUCAAGGUGAACAGGUUACCUCAAAGAUGUAUUGGAUGAUUGAUUGCUUGAUUAGGCUAGAUUUGGAUAUGGACUUGGACUUCUUGGAUCCGUGAUUCAUUAUUCCCGAUUUGGAGUUUAUGAUUAGAUGUGACCCGGUUACUUGCACUACUGAAUGAUUGCACAACAUCUCUUGAACGAAGUUGAGCUUUUCCCAAUCAAGUCUACUUUGCUAGUUAGAUUAUGUGCACAAGACAUAGUUGUUGAAAGACGAUUGAUUUUUUCUAUUUCAAAGUUGUGCUAUUGUUUAUUUCAUAUUUUGUUGAAAGACGAUUGAUUUUUUCUAUUUCAAAG